CUUCAAACAAAAUAUUACACGACGAAAUAUCCGCAUUUUCGGAAGGGGCUUCGUUACGAUCGUUUGAUUUGUCGGGCCUAUAACCGGUGCGCGAUAUUGCAAUAAAGGCAAUCCGCGUUUCCACGAUUUUCACUCGCCGGUUGAAUCGAUAGCAAAGAGACUCGUUGUACGUUUUAUAAAGACGAUUAUUUACUAGGGUUUUAUCGAACGAUUGUGUUCAGUAUUUUCAUUUUUGAUCGAACCGCGCGUGUUUUGAUUUCUCUUGGUUUUCACCGUUGCGGUAAUUAAAAAAAAAAAAAAAAAAGAAAGAAAAAAGCCACAAACUAAUUUACGUGGGUGUACGUCAAGAUUUUGCUUUACCCGCGGUCGACAAUAGCGCACGGUGAAAUCGUCGAUAAUUGCUGCAUAACGCCGCGCCGCUAACAUUUCAUCCGGCCAGCGAACACGAUGACGCGAAAAUAAUGGCAGUCGAACAUUGACCGGAAAUACCGCACCGGC